AUGUGGAGUCUGCUUAAGAUUCUCUCUCUCCCUCUCCCUCUGCCUGUCCCCCUGCCUUGUGCUCACGGGCACUAGCUCUCUCUCUCUCUCAAAAUUGCAUUUUUCUUUUUUUCUUUUUUUAAAGAUUUUAUUCAUUUGAGAGAGAUUGAGUACAAGCCAGGGAGAGAGGCAGAGGGAGAGGGAAAAGCAGACCCCUGCUGCAAAGAGAGCCCAACUUGGGGCUCGAUCCCAGAACCCUGGGAUCAUGACCUGAGCCGAAGGCAGAUGCCCAACCGACUGAGUGCCCCUAAAUUGCAUUUUUUUUAAAGAUUUUAUUUAUUUAUUUGACAGAGAGAGAGAUAGCGAGAGCAGGAACACAAGCAGGGGGAGUGGGAGAGGGAGAAGCAGGCUCCCCGCUGAGCAGGGAGCCCAAUGCGGGGCUCGAUCCCAGGACCCUGGGAUCAUGACCUGAGCCGAAGGCAGACGCUUAAUGACUGAGCCACCUAGGCGGCCUAAAUUGCAUUUUUCUAAUGACAUCUUUUCAUGUGCUUACUUGCCAUUUAUAUAUCUUUUUUGGUUGUGUUUAUUCCGUUUUUUUUUUUUUUUUUUUGCCAAUGUAGUUAUUGGGAUGUUUAUCUUUUUUAUUGUUGAGUUGUAAGAGCUUUUACAUAUACUAGAUACAAGUCCUUUGUCUAUGUAUGUUUUGAAUAUAUUUUUCCCACUAUGUGCUUUGCCUUUUCAUUUUUUCUAACAGUCUUCAAAGAGUAGAAGUCUUAAAUCUUACUUAAACCAUUUAUAUACACAGUAACAUGAAAGAAUUUCAAAAUAACUCUGUUGAGAGAGAAAAGCCAGGUUUUUUUUUUUUUUUUUUAAGAUUUUAUUUAUUUAUUUGAGAGAGUGAGCAAGCAUGAGCUGGGUGAGAGGCAGAGGGAAAAGCAGGCUCUCCACAGAGCAGGGAGCCUGAUGUGGGGCUGGAGCCCGGAAUUGUGGGAUCACGACCUGAGCUGAAGGCAGAUGCUCAACUGACUGACCCACCCAGGCACCCCGAAAAGCCAGUUUUUAAAAAGUACAUACAGUCCGGGGGCACCUGGAUGGCUCAGUCGGUUGGGUGUCCGACUCUUGAUUUUGUCUCGGGUCUUGAGGUGGUGGGAUCGAGCCCGGCGUCAGGGUCCGCACACUCAGGAUGAAGUCUGCUUGGGAUUCUCUCCCUCUCCCUCUGCUCCUCCCCACACUUGUGCUCUCUAAACAAACAAACAAAUAAAUAAAAUCUAAAAAAUAAAAAGUACAUGCAGUCUGGCUCCAUUUAUUUAAAAUUCUCAAAAAAAUGAAAACUAACCUGAAAUAACAGCAGAUUAGAAGUCGCCAAGGGGCACAAGGAAAACUUUUUAAAAAGAUUUUAUUUAUUUAUUUGACAGAGAGAGACAGAGUGAGAGCAGGAACACAAGUAGGGGGAGUGGGAGAGGGAGAAGCAGACUCCCCACUGGGACUCGAUUCCAGGACCCUGGGAUCAUGAUCUGAGCCGAAGGCAGACGCUUAACGACUGAGCCACCCAGGUGCCCCACAAGGAAAGCUUUUGGGUGACGUUGGCUUGAUUUCGGUGUUGGUUUCAUAGAUGUGCACUGAUGUCAAAACUCAUCGAAUUAGACACUUCAGAUACUUUGUUGUACACCAGUAAAGCUGUCAAAGAAAGGAUAUGCACAUACAAGGAAAAACACCUUUUGAACACCUUGCUGUGUUCUGCCCAAACACUAGGAAGAUGGUGAAGAUGCACAGGAAAAUAAUGGACCCUCUCCAGCAGCUCCAAGUCUUGACGCAGAGCGAUUUAACGAAACGAUGAUCGUACGCCUCCAUACAGCAGUGUGGAACUCCAGCUCCAGUCCCAAUUCCUGCACCCACUGGCUGCGUGCACCUGGGAAAGUUAUUUACCCCCUUUAAGCCUUGUUUUAUUCUCCUGUCAAAUGGCUAUAAUAAUAUCUUAGCCAGGAUGCGGUCACAACGAUCAGGCUAGGUAUAUCCCAUAUCCAGUGCACACCGGGCGGGGGUGGGGGGGACACAGACGCAGUGCCCUCAUCCCCAAGGGUUCAGGGAGGGCUGGAGAGAGGCAGGGGCAUGUGGCUGGAGCCGCAGAGAAUGAAUAGGAGUUUGUAGGAUGGACAAGAGAAGAGUGACCUUCAUCUGGAGAGAAGAACGUGGGCAGCUCAAAGCCAAUACUGACCGAGCGCGAGCGAGGCACCGUCCUGGGCCUGGAGAUCCUGAGAUGAACCAGCCGUCAAGGUCUGUGCCCUCGAGGAGCUGGCACCCUGAGGGACGACCAGAUGACAGAGACUGUUCCAUGGUCACCGGCCCCCGGGCUCGGAAUGGAGCCUUGGGAGGUGGGCACAGGCAGGACCGUCGGACCUCACUCUCUCCCACCGCCGGAAGCUUUGACAGGUCUAGCUCAGAGCUCCCGCAGUGAUGAAGCCUUACCGGACUGCCCUCUGCCCUCGCUAAAGCUGCCCUCGUCUCUCAUCCUCCUGCGUGUUCCCUGAGCCUCCCGGAGGCCUGUGUUCCGGUUUCCCAUCCAAGCCCUGCCUUAGCACCGGUUACCCCACCAGACGGUCACAUCCCACACUAGCCGGCUCCUUCGCUCGUAACAGUAACACACAGAUUACUACUAGUCAGUAGCUGAGAUCUGCAGCCAGGUACCCCGGCAUACACACAUACACACUCUCUGGGGCCCAGGCCGGUGACAGAGCAGACAUGGGCCCAUGCCAUCUGCCCUGACUUGCACUUAGGAAUGCUGGGUGCCCAGGAGUCAGGACAAGGGCCUCGUGGGCUGGAAGGAGGGUAGGCUUGCUGGAGGAGAAAGCAUCUGAGUUAGGUCUUCGUGAAAUGUUGGGGCUCACACACGCAGGGACAGAUCACCCCAAGGGAGGGGCACAGCAUGAGCCCAGAAGGCGAUUGUCUGUGGGGUCACACCCUCAACUCCAGAUGGUCCUCUGUCCCGAGCUGCUCCACGCCCCCACUGAGGUGUAGAUCCCUCCAGCUCCCCGCCCUGCCUCCUUUCCCCAGCCUCCCCUACCUUCACCUUCUCUUGAUUCCUUUGUCUCUCUUUCCACUGCUUUGAAACUCGCACUGUUUCUAAUCUUUGAUAUCCCCUUGCAUGUGGAAGCAGGGCACUGAAAAACACAGCUACCUGAGGGCUCUGUACCCUCGGCCCGAGCACAAGAACCUCAGCACAUCCCUGUCUGCUACUGCUGAAGACCCAGGGCCACCUUGUUUUCCCAUGUCCCGAUGUGAGUGCUAAUCACUGUCCUUUCUGCCUGACCCACUCUGGUCCCUUUCUCUGCUCACCAUGGCUUUCUUGAAUCCUGUUCCUUCCUUCUGGGCUCAAGGCCCUUCCUGGUAAGGCACAUCUGAAAAUCCUUCCAGCGAGAGUUUCUGAGGGGUCGAUACUCGGAGCCUAUGUGAGAAACACCUAUUUUGCCCUCUGUUUUCAUUGCCGUCUCUCCACCCCCCACACAGCUUCUGCACUGCCCACGCUCCCCGCACUGGACCUCCACAAUCCUUCCUGACUGUGCUCUAGAAGAUUCUGUUAUUCCUUCUAGUCUUUUCCCGGGCUGCAGCCUGAUGGAUGUUUCUUUUUUCUUUUUUUAAAUUUUUAUUUAUUUGACAGAGAGACAGUGAGAGAAGGAACACAAGCAGAGGGAGAGGGAGAGGGAGAAGCAGGCUCCCCACUGAGCAGGAAGCCCGAUGUGGGGCUCGAUCCCAGGACCCUGGGACCAUGACUUGCGCCGAAGGCAGAGGCUUAACGACUGAGCCACCCACGUGCCCCUGAAUUUAUUUUUUAAAAAGAUUUUAUUUAUUUAUUUGAGAAAGCAUGAAGAGGGGAAGGGACAGAGGGAGAAGCAGACUCUCCCCUGAGCAGGGAGCCCAUGCAGGACUCUAUCCCAGGACCCCGGGAUCAUGACCUGAGCCAAAGGCAAAUGCUUAACUGACUGAGCCACCCAGGUGUCCUCUUCCAUGUGAAUUUAAAAACCAGCUUGUCAAUUUAUACAAAGAAGCUGGCUGGAAUUUUUUUUUUUUCCUGGCUGGAAUUCUGAUAAGGAUUGUGUUGAUCUGUAAAUACAUUUGGGGGAAUAUUGCCGUCUUAAUAAUAUUAGGUUUUCGAUCCAUCAGUGUGGGACGUUCCCAUUGACUCAGAUAUUCUUCAGUGUCACUCAACAAUGUUUUGGUAGUUUUCAGAGUAUAAAUUUUGUGCUUCUUUUCUCAAAUCUAUCCUCAAAUAUUAUUUAUUUAUUUGACAGAGAGAGAACAGGAGAGCAUAAGCAGGGGGCGCAGCAGAGGGAGAGGGAGAAGCAGGCCCUCCGCUGAGCAGGGAGCUAGACGUGGGGCUCGAUCCCCGGACCCUGGGAUCAUGACCUGAGCCAAAGGCAGACGUUUAACCGACUGAGCCACCCAGGUGCCCCUUUAUAUUUUAUUCUUUUGAUGCUAUUGUAAAUGGAAUUGUUUUCUUGAUUUCCUUUUCAGAUUGUUUAUUGUUAGUUUAUAGAAAUACGAUUUUUAAAAUAUUUAUCUUGUAUCUUGCAAGCUUGGUAGAUGCCUUUAUUAAUUCUAAUAGCUUUUGUGUGAAUUCCUUAGGUUUUCUAUAUACAAGAUCACGUCUUCUGCAAAUAGAGUUUUCUUCUUCCUUUCCAAUAUAGAUGCUUUUUAUUUCUUCUUGCUAAUUUCCCUGAUCUGAACCUCCAGUACAAUGUUGAAUGAAGGUAGUGAAGUGGACAUCCUUGUCUUGUUCCUGACCUUACAAAGAAAGUAUUCAAUCUUUCACCAUUAAGUGUAAUAUUAGCUGUGGGUUUUUCAUAGAUGCCCUCAUCAGGGGAAGUUGCAUUCUAUUCCUGUAUUUUGAGAGUUUUUAUUAUAAAAGUGUAUUGGAUUUUGUCAAAUGCUUUUUUUGCAUUUAUUGAGAUAAUCAUGUGUUUAUUUUAUUAAUAUAAUGUAUUACAUUAAUACAAUGUAUUGAUAUUAUAUAUUACAUUAAUUAUCAGAUGUUAAACCAACUUUGCAUUCUUAAGAUAAAUCCUUUUUAUAUGUUCUAUAUAUAUAAUUCUUUUUAUAUGUUGCUAGAUUUGGCUUACUGAUUUGGGGAUUUUUGCAUCCAUAUUCAUAAGAGGUUUUAGUUUAUAGUUUUCUUGUGAAAGUUUAUAGUUUUUUUAAGAUUUUAUUUAUUUAAGAUUUUAUUUAUUUAUUUGAGAGAGAGAGAAUGAGGGAUAGAGAACACGAGAGGGAAGAGGGUCAGAGGGAGAAGCAGACUCCCUGCUGAGCAGGGAGCCCGAUGCGGGACUCGAUCCCGGGACUCCAGGAUCAUGACCUGAGCCGAAGGCAGUCACUUAACCAACUGAGCCACCCAGGUGCCCCAAGAUUUUAUUUAUUUAUUUGACGGAGAGACACAGCGAUAGAGGGAACACAAGCAGGGGAGUGGGAGAGGGAGAAGCAGGCUUCUCGCGGAACAGGGAGCCCGACGUGGGGCUCAAUCCCAGGACCCCGGGAUCACGACCUGAGCCGAAGGCAGAUACUUAACGACUGAGCCACCCAGGCGCCCCUCUUAGUCUCUGUUUCAUUUAUUUCUACUCUCAUCUUUAUCAUUUCCUUCAUUCCACAUACUUCAGGUUUAGUUUUCUCUUCUUUUUUCCAGUAUUUUAAAGUGAAAGUUUAGGUUAUUGAUUUGAGCUCCUUCUUCUUUUUAAUAUAGGCAUUUACAGCAACAAAUUUCCUUCUAGGCACUGCUUUGGUUGCAUCCCAUAAGCUUUGGUAUGCUAUGUCUUCAUUUUCAUUCAUCUCAAAAUAUUUUCUGAUUUCCUUUUUUAUUUUUUCCUUGACUUUGAAAUAUGGUUAUUUAAGAGUGUGUUGUUUUUAAUUUCCACAAAUUCAUUUCCCAAGUUUCUCACUAUAAUUGAUUUCUAAUUUCAUUCAACUGUGUUCAGAGAACACACUUUCUAUUAUUUCUAUACUUUUAAAUUUAUUGAGGCUUAUUUUUUGGCUUGGCAUGUGGUUCAUCCUGAACACCAUUCCAUGUGUAUUUGAGAAGAAUUAUAUUCUGCUCUUUGGUCUCUUUCCCUUUCGAGGACUCUUGUAAUUAUACUGGGCCCACAUGGAUAAUCUAGGAUAAUCUAUUUUAAGCUUAGCUGAUUAGUAAACUUAAUUCUAUCUCUAACCUUAGUUCCCCCUUUUUCAUGUAAUAUUCACAGGUUUUGUGGAUUAGGAUAUGGACAUUUGGGGGUGGGGUGAGGUCAUUAUUCUGCUUACGACAACAGGGAAGAACCAUGAGAAGCUUCUUUUUUGGGUAUCAUGUUUGCCAAAAGAAAAACACCUCCCUCCCCACAUAACCAUUUUGGGGGAAGGCUAUGUAACUUUUUUUUACAGGCAAAGUAAUGUGGAGGCAAAGUAACUUUUUUUUUUUUAAAGAUUUUAUUUAUUUAUUUGAGACAGAGAGAAUGAGAGACAGAGAGCAUGAGAGGGAGGAGGGUCAGAGGGAGAAGCAGACUCCCCGCCGAGCAGGGAGCCCGAUGCGGGACUCGAUCCCGGGACUCCAGGAUCAUGACCUGAGCCGAAGGCAGUCGCUUAACCAACUGAGCCACCCAGGCGCCCCUCAAAGUAACUUUUUUAAAAAAAUAUUUUAUUUAUUUAUUUGACAGAGAGAGCACAAGCAGGCGGAGCGGCAGAGGGAGAGGGAGAAGCAGGCUCCCCGCUGAGCAAGGGAACAGAUACAGGGCUCGAUCCCAGGACCCCAGGAUCAUGACCUGAGCUGAAGGCAGACGCUCAACUGACUAAACCACCCAGGCGCCCCGAGGCAAAGUAACUUUUGCCUUAAAAUUAUUCUCAUGGUUUUGCAGACAUUGAAGUGUCUUCUUUAAUUCUCAAUAUUUGAAUUAUUUUAAUUGUAGAUUUUACUUAUUUAUUUGAGAGAGAGAGAGUGAGCACAAGCAUGGAGCACCGUGUGUUUUUAGGUUUCAAAUGUGUGAAAAGAGGGAAUGGCUUGGAGACCAUUUUAGAGGGUGUUGAGACAUUGGAAUAAAGCAAUCCGACCGUGAUCAAAGCAGAGACCUGCCUUCGGUAGCUUCAAUGACCCAAGAAGAGAAGUCCUAAAUGCACCCUUAGAAUUUGCACCCAGGUGCCCCAAUUCUCAAUAUUUUAGACUUAGGACAAAGCUCAAUUCAAAUACUUUCUAAAAUGAAAUGUGGUUAACUGUCACAUAAGACCCAACAUUGUUUAACAGCAGCUUUUCUGUUUCAUGACUUAAAUAUCAUAAAAUAAGUAGAAAGAUCACAAAUGACAGGUUCUCCAUAUGGUAAGCUGUCAAGAAAUAAAGCAUGAGGGCGCCUGGAUGGCUCAGUCAGUUGAGCGUCUGACUCUUGGUCUCAGCUCAGGUCUUGAUCUCAGGGUUGUGAGUUUGAACCCCGCAUUGGGCUCCAUGCUGGGCAUGGGACCUACUUUAAAAAAAAAAACAAAAACAAAAGAA